UCAAUAGUUGAAAGUAUGAAGAAGAGAAGCAGCAGAAAGAGAGGGUUUAGAGUCAGGUAGAGCCAGGGUGAGUAGGUGGUGGGCUGUGGUCAUCUGCAGGGUGAGUAGGUGGUGGGCUGUGGUCAUCUGCAGGGUGAGUAGGUGGUGGGCUGUGGUCAUCUACAGGGUGAGUAGGUGGUGGGCUGUGGUCAUCUGCAGGGUGAGUAGGUGGUGGGCUGUGGUCAUCUGCAGGGUGAGUAGGUGGUGGGCUGUGGUCAUCUGCAGGGUGAGUAGGUGGUGGGCUGUGGUCAU